UACGUAGGGUGCAAGCGUUAAUCGGAGUUACUGGGCGUAAAGCGUGCGCAGGCGGUUUUGUAAGUCUGUCGUGAAAUCCCCGGGCUCAACCUGGGAAUUGCGAUGGAGACUGCAAGGCUAGAAUCUGGCAGAGGGGGGUAGAAUUCCACGUGUAGCAGUGAAAUGCGUAGAGAUGUGGAGGAACACCGAUGGCGAAGGCAGCCCCCCUGGGUCAAGAUUGACGCUCAUGCACGAAAGCGUGGGGAGCAAACAGG
rnacentral:rRNA from 1 species